rnacentral:rRNA from 1 species
GGAGGGGGCUAGCGUUGUUCGGAUUUACUGGGCGUAAAGGGCGCGUAGGCGGUAUGCCAUGUCAGGGGUGAAAGGCCUGGGCUCAACCCAGGAACUGCCUUUGAAACUGGCAAACUAGAGUCCGAUAGAGGAUGGCGGAAUUCCCAGUGUAGAGGUGAAAUUCGUAGAUAUUGGGAAGAACACCAGUGGCGAAGGCGGCCAUCUGGAUCGGCACUGACGCUGAGGCGCGAAAGCGUGGGGAGCAAACAGGGAUUAGAUACCCUGGUAGUCCACGCCGUAAACGAUGUGUGCUAGACGUUGGGGGUCUUAGACCCCUGGGUGUCGCAGCUAACGCGUUAAGCACACCGCCUGGGGAGUACGGCCGCAAGGUUA